CCUCAUGUUCACUAUUCACCACAAGUCCUUCCAAAUUAGUAUUAUCAAUUUCUAUCCUUUCUAUAUAAGUAAAACUUUGAAAAUUUUCCUCAUCCAUAUCAUGAAACAUACCUGCAUCAAAUUAAUCAUAUAAUUAUUUAGAACAAUUACAGAAUAUAAAAAAUUCAAAUUACUCAAUUCAAUAACGAGCAUGGAUGAUGUAGUAAGAAUGACUCAUAAAAAAAUUUAUUGUUCACCUAGAUAUUGUGCAAAAUUAAAAAAAAAAGUAAAAAAGGAGACAAAAUUAGAAAAAAAAAAUCUCGUUUACCUCAAACUCGAAAAAAGACCUUACAUUUUCUUCUUGUUCUUUCACUUUCUAGUCAACCAAACAAAAACUAAAAUUUCGGUCACAUAAUCCAAACACCCAACUCCUAAAUAAAACAAAUUCCAAUUAUUACGAUAAAAGAAAAUUUAAACCAAUACUAUCUUUUUAUUUUAUAACAAUAUUUAAAAUUUUCUUUUUCUAAGUUGGUAUUAGCAUUAGUCAAAUUGUUAAGUUUAUUUUAAAAAUAAAAAUUAACUUACAAAUUUGUACCUAAGCCAUACUCCAUUUCCCAUCUUGGUACCUAAAUUUUUUUAAUCAUAAGUAGUACCUAAACUACUUUUUUCCCCAAAUUGAUGUCUCGUUUAGUCAAACUGCUAAAUCUAGUUUGAAAAAAUGACUUAACUCACAAAUUAGUAAUAAAGUUAUAUCCUUUUUCCCCAAGUUGAUACCUAUGGUCAUAAGUGGUCUCUAAAUUAUUCUCCUAUUACUCAUUUUACACCAAAAUGUUAUAUCCGUUACAAAAAAUUUCAUCCAAUAUAGAUUGCAACAUCAUAUAAUUUUUUUUUUAAAAAAAACAUUUUUUCUUUUACAUUAUUUCCUCUCUCUUUCUAGCUUUUCUAUUUUUUUCUUCUUUUAUAAUGUUUAAUUGAAAUUCGCCUCUUCAUAUUGAGGCACUAACUAAUACUUUCCCGUCCAAAUUUAAGCAUGUAACAACUUAUAACAUGAGUAUUUGUUUAAUCGAGUCACCAUAAAAUAACAAGAAAUAUCUUCAAGUGAUAGAACAUCAAUUGCUUGAACAAAAAACUAGGGACCAACUAUCCUUCUAAUUUCAAAUUAUUUACAAACGUGUCACGAUAACAUCAAGUUUCACAAAUUAUUUCUAAUAAAAACCUUAAAAGAACACACAAUAAUUACAUUCAUGGACUUUCAACCCCUAACCAACAAAGUGAUUGUUUUAAUUCAAAAACUUGGGUGCAUAGAGCAGCAUAAGGUGAUAUCAAUCAUGAACCACUUCUUUUUCCCUUGACUCCUCCAACAACUUCAAAUCCUCUAUACAAGGGUCUAUAAUUUCAAAUUACUCAAAUCAAUAACGAGCAUGAAUGAUGUAAUUAGAAUGCAUUUAUAAUGUAAAAAAAUGACAAUUUUUUUAACAAUUAAAUUUUAGUGAGAAAAUGCCACUAGUAAAGUUGGUAGUAGCAUCUCCCCAUUUUCUUUCAACAAUUAAACUUUGAGCUUUUUUUGAAUACCCAUUCCUGCUAUAGCCAGAGAUCAUCACAUUUCAUGAGAUUAAGUCUCUUUUGGGGAUAGCAUUAAAUAAAAGCUCAUCCUUGACUAUACAAUUACAUUUUGGGGAUAACAUUCAAAGAGGUGUUAAGAGACAAAAUUAUAAAAAUUUCUUGUUACCUUACAUUUUCUUCCUGUUUUUUCACUUUUUAAUCAACCAAACAGAGACUAAAGUUUCAAUCACAUGAUUCAAAUGCUCAAUUCCUAAAUAAAACAAAUUCAAGUAAAAUGACAGUAUUUUUUCUUUUUCCUGUUGAAAACUUGAAAGUUAGAUUUCUCUCCGGCUUUAGUGAUAAUUAACAAAAACAACAAUUGUAAAUUCUAAAAUUUAGACAAAUCAAUACCAACAUAUGUUUCCAGUAAAAAGAAAAGAAAACCCACCCCCAAGCUCUCAACAACAACAACAAAGGGAAAGAAAAAGGAAAACCCUUAUUCUCCCUUUCUCUGUUCAUUGUUAUCCACUAUUCUUAUUGUUCACUUAUAUUUCAAUCUCUCUUUUAUCAAAUGGCAAAAACUCAGAAUGAUAAUCAACCCGCUAUAUAAAAUGCAAAACCCCCAUUGACAAAGAGAAAAGAUUCGAGAUACAAGUGUCACGGGCCAAAGUGUAAAGCUCGUGACCAUGGCACAAGAAGCACCCCAUGGAGGUCUAUCGAUUAGAUGGGGAGCAUUUAACCCACGAGAACUGUCCCGAUUCAGAGACCUAUUAGAGAAGUCUGUCAGAUUGAAGUCUGGUUGGCCCAAUAAUGAAGACAUGGCAACUUAGGCUAAUUUUAGUAACUAAUCUUAGAAGAUAGAGAGAAUCAUAUCUUGUAAAGAUUAGAUUAGAUAUGACAAAUCUUGUAAAUCCCCAAAAUCAAAGGAUAUGGUGAAUCUCGUCUGUUGAUGUAAAUGUAUCUUGACCGUCGGUUUUGGGGGAGCUCAACUAUAAAUAGAGAGUCUCCCCUCAUUUGUACUCAUCUAUUGUAAGCUGAAUUCUUAAGAGUAAUAGAAUUCUUUGAGCAUUUACUCAAACACUUUAUAUACAUUCUUUCUUUGGCUUUCUGUUGUUCACUUGUAACUUCUUUUGGCACAAUCGCUUCCGCUAUACAAAUUGGUGCCUUGGAAGAGUUCUAAAGAAUCCUAACUUUUGGGCGUAAAGGCUGACUUAGGCGAGUUUGGAGCAAACGGAUCGCCUAAGGCCGCACGGAUUGUGAGACGAAAGGUCUAGCCCUGUGACACAAGAAGCUAGUCACUCCCCAUUGCAUAUAUAUUGACAAAAAUUUCAAAAGGGUUGCUCUUCACAAUUUUACUUAAAUUCCAAUAAAUAAAUAAAAAUUGUUAUGAACGAAAAUAGGAACAAACCAGAUCCUGUAAUCCCUCUAUUUUUUUGCUCAGCCUGUAAUCCUUCCAUUGCUGAUAUUGAGAAAGAAUGAAGCCCUAAAUCCUUUUUUCCUAAUAGUGAGGAGACGAUGAAGAUAGAAAAAAUUGGAAAAAUUACGAAAACCUUAACACCAUGUUUGGUUGGGUGUAAUGGAUUAGCCAUUACACCCCGAUUCGAUGGCCCCACUCAAUAUGUUGUUUGGUUCGCUGUAUUGCCCUAAUACAGGCCUAUUACGUUGCGGACGGAUUCAGUAUUUUCUUUACUUCAACGCCGAUUUCUAAUCCCUUGCAAAAGCAAAGAUUAGGUAAUCGGUCUCUGUUUUACUCUCCCCUUAGCGAAAUCGAUCUCCACCCUACCCUCUCCCUCCCAACAUCAACAGAAAGCGCCAGCGAACCAAACCUCCAGCCGCUCUCGACUUUCAUGUUUGCAUCUUUCGCCGACUCGACGGUCUCAGAUCUCCAGACGCUUUGAAGCGGCAAGUGAGUAAUCUCCGCCUGUGAGUAAACUCUAUUUCUUUCCUCCCUGCAUGCAAUUUUAAUGGGUAUUGUUGCAAUUUUUUUUUAUAAAUGCGGGUUUUUGGUACGAUUGUUUCAGUUCUUGGUAAAUCGGCAUUUCGUUUCUUACUGGUUAUGAUUUUUUUCAUUAUUUGUUUGGUUGUUGAUCAUGAUAUAUGUAUAUAUAUAUGGUUUCGUUUCAUCGCACUCUUCCUUUUCUUUAUCGAUUAUUACAGGUUCUUCUUCAUCGAUUAUUGCAAUGUUCACUUAAUCGAUUUCCCUUUUCUCAUUACAGGUUCUUUGUUCCAACACUUCUUCAUCGCACUCUUCCCCGAUUUGCUCAUUACAAGAUAGUUUUCCAUAGGUAUUUUCAAUAUUUGUAUUCAUGUUCGAUUGAAAGGUUAGUUUUCCCCGAUUGCAUGUUUGUAUUGCUGUAGCAGCUUUUGUUGUUUCCUUUGGAUAAAUAAAAAAAGUAAAAUUUAUCCAAAAAAAAAUCAAGUUUAGCAUACAUUGUUAGGAUUCAUUACCCUCCUGAUUUAAAAAUGCCAACUAGUUAGCAUCAAUCCAUUUACAUAAAAUAAUUUCAACAGGUGAUUACUAGAUACUUUAAUAAUGAGCCUGCUUCAUGUAACACUAACCACAAACUAGGGUUGCAAUCAAGCUGAACCGAUCUUGAACUAUUUUAAGCUUGAGAUCUAUUUGAAGCUGCUCUAUUUCAUCUUUACUUCCAUGUUAAGUGCUAUUUUCAAUGAUUGCCUUUGUUAGAACUUAAAUGGAAUUUGAUCUGUCAGUUGGCUUUGCUGAAAUGAUGAAUAUAGUGCAAUAGGGAUGCUUUGUAUGUAAGGAUUAUUAGUACCAUAAGGUCCAUAUAUUUGGCAAUGCAAGCACUAAGAUUUCUGAUAUGAACUGAGGAAUCAUAUUCGUGAGCGAGACAUCUAUUGAUAUCAUUUGCUCCCCUUGAAUAGUUGUUGUUAGAUAUAAUUUUUCUAUCUCUUGAUUGUUUCUUCAUUUACGUGUGAUUUCACUCUGAUUUUCCUUUUGUUUUGAGAUGAUAUUUUUUAAUAGUAUAUUAUUCGUUAUGUUGUAUUAUUUUUCCUUUAAUGUGUUUUUCUUUGCUUUAUGUCUUGAUUAUCUGUUUGUGUUCGCAAUUUUCAUUUUUCUUAAGGUAGCAUUGGAAACCUAAAUUUUAUUAUCUAUUUUGCUCAGUCUAACAAACUUUGGUUCAUACUCAGCUAAAUUUUAAAAUCAGAGUCUGUAUUGAUACAUUGUGCUAAAAUAUUCUGUAUUGCAAGUCUGUAUUGAAAGGUUAGUUUUCCCCGAUUGCAUGUUUGUAUUGCUGUUUCUUUUCCUUUGUUAUGUAAUCCAAAGAGUUUUAAGGCAUAAGGGCAAGUAUGUAUUAACGUUUAACUUCAGGUUUAACUUGUAAAAUAAAUUUGAUAAAAUUGUGUCUUGUGCACAAUGUCUACUAAAAUCAGAGUCUGUAUUGAUACAUUGUGCUAAAAUAUUCGUAUUGAUACAGUGAGCAAUGGAAACUGUCUGCUGUUUUCAAUUCAGAUAGUUUUUUGAUAGUCUGCUGUUUUUUGAAAGAGUUUACAAUGGAAAUUGUUGAUAGUGUUGUUUUUUCAAUUCAGAUAUUAGCAUCUCGUUGUUAGUGAGUAGAAGAUGAAACUGGAAAUUGUAACAUUUGUUUUGAUGUUGUUCUUGAUUUGUUCUGGAAAUUGUUUUGAUAGUCUGUUGGAAAUUAUUCUUGAUUUGUUAGUGAGUAGAAGAUGAAACUGGAAAUUGCAAGUAUAGUAGGAUAUAGUUUUGUUAUGAUUUAGAUUUUGAAAUCAAAUGCUAUAAACGAGUUACUUGAGCUAUUAUUUUAAUUCGAUUAAGGGUUAAUUAUAUUGUUUUCUAUUAAAGACUCAAAUAAUUAUUGAAUUAUUUUACAAGGAUUUUUUUAGUUAAUAAGCUCUCUGUUUUUAAAUUAUGUAAAAACAAUCAUAUUUCAAUUUCGAUGCUUAUAUAAUGUUCAAAUUUAAGAUUAAUUCUUUAUAUUUUAAUUUUUAAUAUAAUUUGGUACAUCAAUAUUAGCCUAGAUACUUUAAUCGAUUAAAAUGCUAACGUUAAUAUUUAAACUUGAUUAUAAUAUUAAAAUUUUUUUUGUUUAAUUCGAAUUCAUUAUAAUAUCGAAAAAAGUGUAAUUAUUGUUUCUUUCACAAUCAUAAUUGCAAAUACAAUACUACAUUUUAAUAAUUAUUUGUGGAUGUAAAUGAGAUUAAAUUUACAAAAAACAGUUAUAUAUAUUUAUACGAAAUGAAAUUUAAAUUUAAAAUGUUAUAAAAGUUUUAAAACUUCAAUUUCAUUAUUAAACCAAAUCCUCAUUCUUUAUUUUAUUUGUUUUAAAAUUUGGUCACCUUAAUUAAACUAAUCAUCAAUAAAUAAACUAAUCAAUGUUCAAACUUUGAACAUGUUUUAUAAUUUUAAAUUAUAAUGAGUUUAGUUAUAAUCUCACAAAUACCAACAAUUAAUUUUAGGUCAAUUAUACAUAUACCUUUAAAUUUUAAUAUAUUUAAAAUGUAUUUAAAUAUUUUUUCUUUCUUUAUUGUUUGGGUGAUUGAUAAAGAAAUGUAAAGAAAUGAAAUUAAAGUUACAACGAUAUCAUUUAAUAGAUACUUUUUUGCUUCGUGUGUUCUAAAGUUGUAUUGUUUAUUUUUAUUUGAUAAUGUGUAAUUGCAACUUCAAUUCUUUGAUAUUGUGUUUUAAUUUUAAUAUGUUGCAGUAAUGGCACGUCUGCCUUUAAUUGCACAAAGUGUGAGGCGUAAAAGAAUUGGUAUUGUAUUGACAAUAUGGUUGAAAAUUUGUAGAAUUGCGAUUUGGUUCUUAUUUAUAAUGGGUGCCAGCCUUAGCCUACAUACUUAUAGACCAAGGAUUAGGUCAUAUACCUUAGAUUUUUAUGCAAAAUAGGAUUAUGUGAAAAGGCUCGUAUAUGCUAGUGACGAGACCUGUAUUGAACAAGUUAGGAUGAAUAGAACUGCCUUUUUUAAACUAUGUGAGAUGUUAGAAUCGUUAGGGGGAUUGAAAUCGUCAAGAAACAUGCUUGUUGAUGAACAAGUGGCAAUGAUUUUACAUAUCAUCUCCCAUCACUUGAAAAAUUGAGUUAUCAAGCAUCAUUUUAGAAGGUCCGGGGAAACUGUUAGAAGAGCAUUUCGUAGUGUUUUAAAUGAUGUCUUGCGCUUACAAGAUGUGUUAUUUAAAAAGGCGGAGCCAAUUACAACUAAUUCUUCUGACACAAGGUGGAAAUAGUUUAAGGUAUUGGACUGAGUUUUAUAUAUAGCUUAUACAACAUUUAGUUGAUUUAGAUUUAAAUUAGUAUUCUAACUCAAUGAUUUAUAUCAUGUGAUAUAGAAUUGCUUAGGUGCUCUUGAUGGAACCCACAUCAAGAUUAGGGUUCCAACAGUUGAUAAACAUAUAUAUCGAACGCGAAAAAGUGACAUAGCAACAAAUAUGCUAGGUGUUUGUACACUUGAUAUGCAAUUUAUUUAUGUUCUUCUUGGUUGGGAAGGUUCUGUUGCUGAUGAACGGGUUCUUCGAGAUGCCAUUAGUAGAAGACAUAGACUAAAAGUUCCUCAUGGUAAAGUGGAUAGUUAGAGGACUUUGAAUUAUUCACUAAGAUCAAACUUUUUGUACUGAAUUAAUCAUUUAAAAAAAUUAUUUUAUAGAUUGUUAUUAUCUAGUUGAUGCUGGAUACACAAAUUGUAAGAGAUUUCUUGCACCAUUUAGAGGACAACGAUAUCAUUUGAACGAGUGGCGUCAGGGUUAUCAGCAAAGUUCUCUGCAAGAGUUUUUUAAUAUGAAACAUGCCUCAGCACGUAAUAUUAUUGAAAGAUGCUUUGGGUUAUUAAAACUUAGAUGGAGAAUACUUAGGAGUCCAUCAUUCUAUCCUGUAAGGGUGCACAAUAGAAUUAUUAUUGCACGUUGUUUGCUCCAUAAUUUUAUUCGAACCCAUAUGAGUAUUGAUCCUAUUAAAGCGGAGGUGGGAGAAGGAUUACCUAGUAAUGUGGUGAAUGACGAUGAACCGAAUAUCGCAAAUAUUCAUCCAUCGGAUGUUUGAGCUACUUGGAGGAUGAAACUAGCCAACCAAAUGUUUAAUGAAUGGCAAGCAUCUAGAAAUUAGUUAGGUUUAGGGACAAAAUGAGUUUCAGUUAAUUUGUUUAUGUUAUUUUAUGUAUCUAGUUUGUGAAACUUUGGUGGUGUUUGAAUUGAGUUUUGUAUUGUACUAAACUUGUUGAAUUAUAAUUUAAUUUUUUUCAUUCAGCAUGUGUUAUAAUUUUAAAUUUAGUAUUAAGCUUUUGAUUCAUUAUAUUGAACUUAAUUAUAAUUUUAUAAAGUGUUCACCUUCUGAUUCAUGACAUUAAUAGUAAUUAAUAUAAUUUAUUUUUUUCUUAAGAUAAUUAUUUCAGGUGUUCUAGAAUCAAAUUCUUCUUCUCAAGCUUCUCGAGGAACCAAAAGAAAAUGGGUUCCAGAAGAAUAUGCAGCAUUGGUUUCCUGCAUGGUGGACUUGCACAAUGUUAGAACAUUUAAUGUUGAUACCGGGUUCAAAGCCGGUUAUUUAAACGAGUUGGAAAGAAUGCUACAAAAGGCUUUACCAAAUGCAAUGCUGAAGGCGAAACCUAAUAUUGAAUCAAUGAUUAGGUUACUAAAAAGGAAGUGGUCAAUCAUCUGCGACAUGCUUAAUGGCCAAAGCAAUAGCGAUUUUGGUUGGGACGAGCAUAGGCAGCUCGUUGUUGCUGAAGAUACAGUUUGGGACUCCUAUUUAAGGGUAAGAUUAUUUAAAGUCUUUAUUAUCUUAUUUUUACCAAACUUAUAACUAAUAUGAUUUUCUCAUUUUUUUAGAGUCACAAAGAAGCCGCUCAAUUCAGACAUCGUACUUUCCCUUACUACGACCAGCUUACUGCCAUAUACACAAGAGAUCGAGCGACUAGGAAAGAUGCUCUAACAGCUGCUGAUGUUCUUGAAGAAAUAAAUGCUUCUACAGAUAUGAAUGAAGAAAGAAACUCAUUCUAUGAUUGCGAAGCUGACAUCUCUUUGGAUGACAUAGAUGUUUCUACUACGGAGCCGCGACGAGAUAGAGACCAAGGGGGUUCCUCAUCUUCAAACAAGAAAAAGAAGAAAUCUGAUGCUCGUGAUAAUAUGUCUUCUUCAUUUAAUGAGGCUGCCACUUUAUUGGCCGAAAACAUGCGGGCCAUUUGCGAACAAAUCAGUAGGAGUAUUGCCUCCGAUGUGGUCGUUCAGCAGAAGUCAGAAGAAUUCCAGAUCAUCCAAGAGAAAGUUACAAAUUUAUAUUCAACCUUAUGGGAAAUUAAAGGUUUAACUGUCAAUGAGCGGUAUCGAGCUUUGAGUAAAAUUCCAGCUCAUCCUACUUAAAUGCUCGUUUUCUUUAGUUUACCUUCUGAUGCGCGAUUAGAAUGGGUCAAAAGAUUUCUUUCUGACCAUUAAAAAUCAAUGUUCAAACUUUUCGAUGUUGUAAAACAAUAUAACAUAUGGAUUAUUAUGUAGAAUUUCAUUUUCAUCUAACCUUUUGUUAAUAUAAGUUAAUUAUGUUUAUGCAGAAUAUAAUUUUCAAGUUAUAUUAUGAUUUUAGUAAAUUCAUAUAAGAAUAUUUAUUAUUAAGAAUUUUAUAAAAUUAUAUAAAUUCAUAUAAGAAAAUUUAUUAGUAAUAAUUAUUUUAAAUUAUACAAAUUCAUAUAAGAAAAUUUAUUAGUAAUAAUUAUUUUAAAUUAUACAAAUUCAUAUAAGAAAAUUUAUUAGUAAUAAUUAUUUUAAAUUUUAUUAAAUCAUAUACUUUAAUUAAAAUAUAUUUAAUAAUAAUUAUUUCAUAUUAUAUUUUAUUGUAUCAUAUAUUAUGAUUUUAGUAAAUUCAUAUAAGAAUAUUUAUUAUUAAGAAUUUUAUUAAAUCAUAUAUUUUAAUUAAAAUAUAUUUAAUAAUAAUUAUAUUAAAUUAUAUUUUAUAGUAUCAUAUAUUAUUAUAUGAAAUUCAUAUAAGAAUAUUGAUUAUUAAGAAUUUUAUUAAAUUAUAUUUUAAUUAAAAUAUAUUUAAUAAUAAUUAUGUUAAAAUAUGAUUAAAUUAUUUAUUAUUGAUAUUAAUAAUCUUAUUAAAAUUUAAUAACAAUAACAAUAAUUAUUUACCUAAACAAAUUUCUGCUAAGGGUAUUCUAGUCAUUUUAAUUUUUUCCCUUAUGCUAUUACACCUCCAUUCCAUUCAACCAAACACAAGAAUACUAUUACGCAUCUAUUUCAUUACAUUCAACCAAACAAUUGAUUUGCUAUUACGCCUCUAUUCCAUUACGUCUCUAUUCCAUUACAGCGAACCAAACGUGCUGUAAAUCUUUUUCUUCUAAUAGUGAAGACACGGUGAGAGAAAAGAAAAAAUAAGGAAAUGAAUCUUCAAGAAAUUUAAUUUGACGGAAAAAAAAUUAGGAGAAAUUAAAACUAACCUUAAAAAAAACCUUGAAGAAAUAAAAUCUGACUUGGAAAUUUUUUAAUCUUUUAAAUUUGAGUUGGAAAAAGUGGUUGAUGUGGCAUAAAAUAAUUGGAUAAGACCAUAUAUGAUGUGGUGGGAAUGGUCCAUAAAAUAAUUUCUCUUAGCAACAAUGAUGUGGUGCUCCAUGUCAACAACAAUUGCUGAUGUGACACUGUCACAUCAGUUACCUCGUCAGAAAAAUAAAAUAAAUUAUUUUUUUUUAAAAAUAAACAUUUAAUUUUUUUACUAGAACGAACUUGGAUAUAUGAUUGAUUGUCUAGUUUUAUUCGUUUCAAAGCUUAAUUUUUAAAAAAAAUUAAAAAUAUAAAUAUUUAAAAUUUUAAAAAAUUUUAUAAAUUUAUAAAACAUUAUUAAAAUAUAUAAUAAUAUUAAACAAAUUUCAAAAAUUUCAAAAAUAAUAAUUUAUAAAUAUCAUUUAAAAGUUAAGUCCAGAUUCACAUUGAAUCACGACAAUCAUUUGUCAAGAUUUAUUCAAAUUAUUUUUCUAAAUUAUAUAAAUUUAAAAAGACAUUUAAAAGUAGUUUUCUUUAAUAACUUGAUAUGUAUCAAUGCUUUAAUUCUAUUGGUACCUUUUGGAUGUAAAAAAUUAAAAAUAUAUACUUUAGAAAAUAAAUAAAUAAAAAUAAUUUUAAUUUUAUUAAUUGUACGUGUAAAUUUAUUUUUUAAAUGUAUGAAUAUGUCCAAUUAAAAAAUGUGUAUCAAUUAUCUUAUUAUAUGUGUAGACUAAAAGGUGUAUCAAUUAUUUUCUUACAUGUGUAGCCUAAAAGGUUUAAAUAAUUGGAUGUAUUUGUACAUUUAAAAAAAACUUUAUAAAUUGUAGGUACUACUAAGAAUAACGAGUAUUCACUUUGUAAAUUAAUAUUUUUUAGAAUUUAAAAGUCUAUUGUGCUAGCACGUAUUUGUCUGCUUUUCUAGCAAGUUUUGGUUUCUAAGGUUUUUAGUGCGCUUGUUUUGGAUGGUAGUAUGGAAAGCGGCGGUAGAAGCAUAGAGAAUGACUUGGCUAAUCUUACGUUGGAAGAUGAUGAAGAUGAGAUCUUAGCAGUUAGUAGCGAUCCAGAUUCGACAAAGGAGGUUUAUAAUUUGUGUUUGGUUGGGUGUUUUUUCACGGAAAGUGUAAUUCAUUUCCCGGCAAUGAGAAGUACAAUGGAAAACUUGUGGCAUCCCAUUAAGCGAGUACAUAUAUCAGAUUUGGGAGAAAAAUAGUUUUUGUUCUGAUUUUUUCAUAAAAUGAAUUUGGAAAGAGUGCAAAGUGGAUCGCCAUGGACUUUCAAUAAUCUUUUGGUGUUGCAUUGUAUGGUAGAGGGGGAGGUUCCACUAAAAGUCCCAUUAUUAUCUGUUUGUUUCUGGGUGCAUGUCCAUGAUAUGCCCUCAGGAUUCUUUUCUGAACGAGUAGCAAGAUAAUUAGGAGAUUUUGUGAGGGGGUUUAUGUAGUAUGAUACAAAAAUUUUGGAAAGGGUUUUCAACAAUUAUAUACGAGUUUAUGUAUUGUUUGAUGUUCAACGAUCGCUAAAAAGAAAGAAGAGGCUCAUGUUCUCGUCGGGUAUUUGUUCAUAUGUCAAUUUCAAGUAUGAACGGUUAAUCAUGUUUUACUUUUAUUGUGGAUGUCUGGGUCACAGUGAUUCUUUCUGCCAAAUAAAGAUGGAGACAUAGACUGAUGUUGUGGAAAUGAUAUGAGAUUUGUCAAUACGUGCUCAAUCAAUGAGGGCUCUAGCAAUAAACAGUAUAUGGAUAAAAGGAGGAAGAGGGUGUAGAGGAGUAAUGUCAGAUAAGGUUAAUCCUAUGUUGGGGUAAAUUUGGAAGGAGAAUCAAAUGGUGGGUCGGGUCAAAUAGAAAUGGAACAUGAUUCUGAGGAGUGUCCUUUUGAGGGAGUGAAGGGAAGAAACGGCUACGAGGGGAAGAAAGUUCUCGAAGCGGAUCGGGAAUAGAUGACUCUAGGAAAGGAAUGAAAGGAAUGAUGGUAGUUAAACCUCAUUAUUUAUCGAUGGCUGCUAAGGGGCAAGCCGAUCGGUCGCAAUGAAACUCCUGAGUUGGAAUGUCUGUGAGCUGGGGAGCCUACGGGCUGUUAGAAGACUUUGACAUACGUUGAAGACGUCUAAUCCCCAAUUGGUCUUCUUUAUGGAGAUAAAACUGGAUGGUAGAAGAAUGGAAGUAGUGAGGAGGCGAUGUGGUUUUGUUAAUAGGAUUGAUGUGGGGGCUGAUGGUUCUUGUGGAAGCCUCUGUUUAGCAUGGAAGGAGGACCUAAUUAUCACUUUACAUAGUUUCUCUAUGAACCAUCUAGAUGUGAUGGUAAAAGAGAAUGAUGAAGAGGGGGAUUAAAAAUUUAUAAGUUUUUAUGAAACCCCAUUUAUUAGGAAUAUGAGCGAUUUGUGAAAUGUUUUUAAGAAUUUGGGGAAUUAUUAAGAUCUUCCAUGGUUUGUAUGCUGGGAUUUUAAUGAAAUUAUGUUUUCUUUUGAGAAAGUGGGGGUAUUCCAAGGGACGAACAGAGAAUAGAGACGUUUCAGGAAGUUUUGGAGGAGUGUCGUUUAUUGUAUGUGGGUUAUUCUGGGACAUGGUUUACUUGGGAGAGACGGAAUUUACCGAAAAAAAUAUUCGGGAACGAUUGGAUAAAGGUGUGGCAAACGAUGGUUGGUUGGGUAGAUUUCUGAAUGCCAUUAUUUAUCACAUACCCUAUUCUUUCUCUGAUCAUUGCCCUCUUUUAGUUCAUACGGAUAUGCAAGGAAAUGUGAGGGGUAAUAAAAAAUUUCGCUUCGAAGCUUAGUGGACAAUGGAAGAGUCUUUCGAAUGAGAAAUAAAAAAAAUUGGGAAUUGAGUAAAGGGGAUAUAUUUGCUAAGCUAAAGAGUCUUCGAGUAGAACUGGAGAGUUGGGUAAGACGGAUAAAAGAGAAAUGGCACAAUUUGAAAAUGUUUUUGACCAGGAAAUUGGAGCAAUUAUUGGUCUCAAAUCGGGAUGAUGGGAAUUUGGCAAAACUUAUUGACACAAGAGUUCAUUGGAACUGGGAGAUUGAUAAGGAUGAAGCUUUCUGGGAAUAAAGAGCGAGAGUUAAUUGGUUAAAGUUAGGGGAUAGAAACACGAAUUUUUCCAUAAUUAUGCUUUGCAUCGCAUGAAAAAUAAUAUGUUUAAAUGUUUGAAGUAUGGAGAUGGAAAGGGAACUAAGGAGGGUACGAAGAUGGAAAAAAUCGCAAGGGUUUUUUUUAAAAAUUUAUUUGUAGCAAAGGGGGUGGGUGAGUUAACUCAUAUUUUGUCCAAGGUAAGGAGAUAUAUUACUAAUGACUUGAAUAUGAUGUUAACAGGGACAUACAAAAAGGAGGAAGUCUAUGUGGCCUUAAGGGAUAUGGGUCCAACUAAGGCACCAGAUUUGGAUAGCUUUGCGGCAUUAUUCUAUUAGAGAUAUUGGCUUAUUGUGGGACGUGAUGUAAGUCUCUAUUGUUUGGGUGUUUUAAAUUAUGGUAAGGAACUUGACCCUGUGAAUGUUACAAACAUUGUUCUCAUACCAAAAAUCUCUCACCCCACUAAUAUGACGAUUUUUAGACCUAUCAGCUUAUGUAAUGUUUUAUAUAAAAUAAUUGCAAAAAUGGUGGCUAAUCGACUUUAAAAGACUUUUGAUGUUUGCAUUGAUAGUGCUCAAAGUGCGUUUGUGCUAGGACAUCUAAUUUCAGAUAAUGUAUUACUUGCAUAUGAGAUUUGCAUACUUUCAGGAAAAAAAGAAUCGGACGUAAAGGUUUUAUGGCUUUAAAAUUGGACAUGAGCAAGGCGUGUGAUCGAGUUGAGUGGGGUUUCUAAGGGCAAUGAUAGAACAAAUGGGUUUUGCACAAGUCUGGGUGGAUAUUAUGAUGAAGUGUGUCUCAACGAUCUCCUAUUAUGUUAGUAUCAAUCAAAUCAUGGGAGAGUUCUUUCGGCCUUUUAGAGGACUACGACAAUGGGACCCUUUAAGUCCUUUUUUAUUUCUAAUUUAUAAUACGUCAUCUUCUCUAAUGAGGCUUGCGGUUAAAGAGGGCUUGACAAAAAGAGCAAAUGUGAGUAGGAGUGGGCCUCAAAUUUCACAUCUACUCUUUGCAGAUGAUUGCGUUCUUUUUGGAGAGGCUUCAAAGAGGGAUGUACAUGUCAUUAAACGGAUUUUGGAAUGAAGUAUGUUCGGGACAAUGUGUGAAUUUUGGAAAAUCUACGAUUUUUUAUAGUGCAAAUACUUCUGAUAUGGUUAGGGUGCAACUAUCAACGGAAUUGGGAGUUCGAUGCUCAAAUAACCUAGAGAGAUACCUAGGCCUUCCUAAUGUGGUGGGUAGAAAUAAAAAGGCUUCGUUUUAGGUUUUGAAGGAUUGGAUGAAAAGGAAAAUUGAUGGGUGGAGUACGAGAUUUCUCUCACAAUGGGGCAAGGAGAUAUUUAUAAAGUCAAUACUUCAAGCCAUACCGGUGUAUUCUAUGGCCCGUUUCUUAUUGCCAAAAUUUUUAUGUGGGGAAAUGGAAAUUAUUGUGGCAGGAUUUUUAUGGCAAAAGGGUCAUGGACGUAGGGGUAUUCACUAGUGUGAAUGGGGAAGAAUGUAUGAUUUGAAAAAGGAAGGGGUUUGGGUUUCAGAAGUUUUAAGAAAUUUAAUGUGGCUCUCUUAGACAAACAAGGAUGGAGACUUAUUAAUUAUCUCAAUUCUUUAAUUGCUCGAGUUUUGAAAGCCAAAUGUUACCCUCGAUCUGAUUUUUUCAUUGUUAGCUUAAGACAUGGGGUGUCAUAUACUUGGAGAAGUAUCUGGUCAGUGAAGAAGUUGUUGUGUGAUGGGACCGGAUGGAGAGUGGGUACGAGAGAUGGGAUUUCAAUUAUUAAUCAUGCAUGGAUUCCAGGUUCAGAUGAUUAUAAAUUAAGCAAUGGGGUUGAAAAUAAAGAAAGGAGGAGGGAGCCUAUUUUGGAUACCUUUUCGAGUAUUGAUGUAGGUAGAAUACUAAGCAUUCCUUUGGCUAGUAUUCCUCAUGAGGAUGUGAUGGUGUGGAGAGGCGAGCCUUUAGGGGACUUUUCUAUACGAAGCACCUAAAAACUGGUAUUUCUACCCCUACUUUUAAUGAGAUAUAGACCAAUGCUAGAGAUUUCUAUAGAAAGCUACGGGGCCUAAAGCUUCGACUAAAAUUAAAAUUUCAAUAUGGCAAAUUUAGAAGAAUUAUAUUCGUACUUUAAAAAAUUUGCAUUUUAUGCGACUUGUUUCAAGUCUGAUAUGCCCAAGAUGUGGUAAUGCUGUUGAAAAUUUAGACCAUGUCUUUCGUGGUUGCCCUGUUACAAUUUAAGUUUGGAUGUUAUUAGGGUUUCAUGGAAUUAUGUCAAAUUUUGACCAGGGAUUUUUUGAAUGGUAUACCUGGGUCUUUAGAGAAUGUUCGAUUACCCAAAAUCGAGUAUUUUGUGUUACACUAUGAAGCCCGUAGCCAGAUAGAAACAAGAAGGUGCACGAAAAAAUUAGUAAAACAGGUAGGGCGAUUGCCACUUCUAUAUUUUGUUACAUAAAAGAAUUGGAGAUUGAAGAGGUAAGGGAAGUAACCAGACAAGGUAAGGAAAGAAAAUGGGAACCUCCUGUAGGGGCGAGAAUUAAAAUAAACUUUGACGCGGCCUUUGAUGAAUUGCAUUCUAGAUUGGGAUCGGGAAUCGUUGCUAGGAGUGCUUUGGGUACAGUUUUGGUAUCUCGAUCGAUUCUGCAUGUAGAGGUUGGAACGGUUUUUGCAGCUGAGGCCUUCUCGUGUUCAUGGGCAAUACAAAUGGGCUUAGAAAUGGGGUUAACGGAAGCAACAAGUUAUACACGAUAGAUCUAAUAUAAGCGCCUAUAUUCGAAACAGCUAACAGAAGAUGAACAGUUUUACUUUUAUUCGGCUUAAACAUGCAAGUUAUUUUGAAAAUCAGUUAGCCUAUUUUUUAGCAAAGGAGAGUCUGAGAUCUGGUGAAGGCUUUUACCUGGAAGAUGUUGUCCCGAGUUAUGCGAUGAGGACGAUGAAAGCUGAACGGGUGUGAGAGCCGGAUUGAGGAGGAUCGGAAGCAAGUUUUCCAGCCCCGGUGAAAGGAAAGAAAGGAUGAGAACUCUUUUCUUGUGUUUUUUUGGAUAUCUGCAAAAUCGGGUUUGGAAAAGGAAACUUCUUGGAAAUGAAACCGUCCGAUUUUGAAAUGAUGAGGGGAUAAGGCCGGUUUUACUUUUCCUAUUUGGCUGGGCUAGGUAGUUUAUUUUUUAAUUGCUUGUUUUGGUUCUAUGUUUCAUUUCUGGUUUUGGGCUCGGUGGGGUCGUGCCAGAUCAUUUCCAUUGUGUUAUCAUUUUUCUUCUUUUAAUAACAAAUCCUGG
rnacentral:lncRNA from 1 species